CAGGUUCGUAAUCGUCUCUGAUUGGCUGAGACAUUGGAGCCGUUUUCUCUCGGUUUAACUUGUCAGGCACAAUGCGGAACAGCGUUAAAGUUUUGCAAAGCCAGGGGGCGGGACUACUUGAUUGACAGUCCGGUCUGGAAUGAUUGACAGGUCCUAUGGAGGAGGCAGCCGAGACUCUGCUCUCCUCGUUUGGAUUAAUUCUGAUAUAAUAACUGUUGGUUUAUUUAUCGGUGCAGCAGCAGACCAUUUUCUACAUACAGUUUUCCUGCCCGUUGGCUUGUUUUAACUAGUUUUCUACCUUCGGCUGAUUCUACCAGCAGACACUGAAAGGACUCUGAUAGUUCGAGUGAAAGUAGCAGUUCCUCCUUAAGGUCAGAGAUUGCAGCAUCUGAGGGCCUCUUCAAAAGAAGAUGUAGUUGAUGAAGGCGUUCUGGAGCAGGACCAGAAAGACCACGACCAAGCAGCCUUGAGAUCUUAGGCAGCAUCUCCCUCAGGUCCCUCUCUAUCUCCCCACACAUCCACCAACCACUGGAACACAACUCCAAAGUUCUGCCGGGCCAGCUCAGCUUCCCCUCAGAAGAAGUGGGACGAGUCAACGGAGGCCGGGUGGACGAAGGCAUGCAGCUGAGUACAAUCCAGAAAACAACAGAGGAGGAGUGCAGCGGCCCAGGGCCACAACAAACAGAGUAGCAUCAUAUGUCUCUUAGAAAACAUCAUAGUAUAGCCUUUGGUAUGAAAAAACACCAUCAUAUACAUCGUAUAUUGUACAAAUAACAAGUCAAAGGAAAGAGACAUACAUUGUAGAAUUGUAGUAAUUGUGGGCUGACUGAUUUACCG
ensembl:lncRNA